rnacentral:rRNA from 1 species
AACGAACGCUGGCGGCAGGCUUAACACAUGCAAGUCGAGCGCCCCGCAAGGGGAGCGGCAGACGGGUGGGUAACGCGUGGGAAUCUACCCAUCUCUACGGAAUAACGCAUGGAAACGUGUGCUAAUACCGUAUACGUCCUUCGGGAGAAAGAUUUAUCGGAGAUGGAUGAGCCCGCGUUGGAUUAGCUAGUUGGUGGGGUAAAGGCCUACCAAGGCGACGAUCCAUAGCUGGUCUGAGAGGAUGAUCAGCCACACUGGGACUGAGACACGGCCCAGACUCCUACGGGAGGCAGCAGUGGGGAAUAUUGGACAAUGGGCGCAAGCCUGAUCCAGCCAUGCCGCGUGAGUGAUGAAGGCCCUAGGGUUGUAAAGCUCUUUCACCGGUGAAGAUUAUGACGGUAACCGGAGAAGAAGCCCCGGCUAACUUCGUGCCAGCCGCCGCCGUAAAAC